UACGUAGGGUGCGAGCGUUGUCCGGAAUUAUUGGGCGUAAAGAGCUUGUAGGCGGUCUGUCGCGUCUGCUGUGAAAAUCCGGGGCUCAACCCCGGACUUGCAGUGGGUACGGGCAGACUAGAGUGAUGUAGGGGAGACUGGAAUUCCUGGUGUAGCGGUGAAAUGCGCAGAUAUCAGGAGGAACACCGAUGGCGAAGGCAGGUCUCUGGGCAUUAACUGACGCUGAGACGCGAAAGCGUGGGGAGCAAACAGG
rnacentral:rRNA from 1 species